UUCACGGAGAGUUUGAUCCUGGCUCAGGACGAACGCUGGCGGCGCGCUUAACACAUGCAAGUCGAGCGAGAACCAGGGCUUCGGCCCUGGGGACAGCGGCGAACGGGUGAGUAACACGUGAGUAAUCUGCCCUCGGCACCGGGAUAGCCCGGGGAAACCCGGAUUAAUAC
rnacentral:rRNA from 1 species